AUGCGAUUUGUCUACGAGGGGAUCCAGCUGACGGGUGCCAUGCGGGUCGAGGCAAUAGGUAUUCGGGGUGUUCGGCAGUCCCGUGAGGCAGAUCGACAAUCGAAACUGGUCCUUUGGGAUUUGAAGAAGGUAAUCAAUCUUCAGUUUCUAGGGUCAUUCAUGGUGGAUGAUGUAUGGCACUCGCCGAUGGCAAUUAAUCAAGGUGUGUGUCUUUCUAUUUUCCAACUUGUGUUGUAUAUAUGCUCCCUCGCAUGGCCCUCUCAAUCACCGUUCUUGCUCCUUUUCUUUAAAACUGAAUCACCGCUCUUACUCAGCACGGUUCUCGGCUAG
rnacentral:rRNA from 1 species